rnacentral:rRNA from 1 species
GACGAACGCCGCGGCGUGCUUAACACAUGCAAGUCGAACGGUGAAAGCGGAGCUUGCUCCGCUGGAUCAGUGGCGAACGGGUGAGUAACACGUGGGCAACCAGCCCCUCACUUCGGGCUAACUCCGGGAAACCGGGGCUAAUACCGGAUAUGACCUCCUUGGGCAUCCUUGGAGGUGGAAAGUUUUUCGGUGAGGGAUGGGCCCGCGGCCUAUCAGCUUGUUGGUGAGGUAGUGGCUCACCAAGGCGACGACGGGUAGCCGGCCUGAGAGGGCGACCGGCCACACUGGGACUGAGACACGGCCCAGACUCCUACGGGAGGCAGCAGUGGGGAAUAUUGCGCAAUGGGCGAAAGCCUGACGCAGCAACGCCGCGUGCGGGAUGACGGCCUUCGGGUUGUAAACCGCUUUCAGCAGGGAAGAAGCCGCAAGGUGACGGUACCUGCAGAAGAAGCACCGGCUAACUACGUGCCAGCCGCCGCCGUAA